AGUCUCGCGAAUUGGGAGAGCGCUUCCUUGACACGGAAGAGGCCACUGGUUCAAUCCCAGUAGGGACCACCA
rnacentral:tRNA from 1 species